rnacentral:rRNA from 1 species
AGUGGACGCUGGCGGUAGGCCUAACACAUGCAAGUCGAACGGCAGCACAGUAAGAGCUUGCUCUUACGGGUGGCGAGUGGCGGACGGGUGAGGAAUACAUCGGAAUCUACUUUUUCGUGGGGGAUAACGUAGGGAAACUUACGCUAAUACCGCAUACGACCUACGGGUGAAAGCAGGGGAUCUUCGGACCUUUCGCGAUUGAAUGAGCCGAUGUCGGAUUAGCUAGUUGGCGGGGUAAAGGCCCACCAAGGCGACGAUCCGUAGCUGGUCUGAGAGGAUGAUCGGCCACACUGGAACUGAGACACGGUCCAGACUCCUACGGGAGGCAGCAGUGGGGAAUAUUGGACAAUGGGCGAAAGCCUGAUCCAGCCAUACCGCGUGGGUGAAGAAGGCCUUCGGGUUGUAAAGCCCUUUUGUUGGGAAAGAAAAGCAGCAGGUUAAUACCCCGCUGUUCUGACGGUACCCAAAGAAUAAGCACCGGCUAACUUCGUG